GAUGAACGCUAGCUACAGGCUUAACACAUGCAAGUCGAGGGGCAGCAUGCUGAUAGCUUGCUAUCAGUGAUGGCGACCGGCGCACGGGUGAGUAACGCGUAUCCAACCUGCCCUUGUCCACGGGAUAACCCGGUGAAAACCGGCCUAAUACCGUAUGAGGUCACAAGCGGGCAUCCAACUGUGACGAAAGGUUUUGCGGACAAGGAUGGGGAUGCGUCCGAUUAGCUUGACGGCGGGGUAACGGCCCACCGUGGCGACGAUCGGUAGGGGUUCUGAGAGGAAGGUCCCCCACAUUGGAACUGAGACACGGUCCAAACUCCUACGGGAGGCAGCAGUGAGGAAUAUGGUCAAUGGACGGGAGUCUGAACCAGCCAAGUAGCGUGCAGGAUGACGGCCCUAUGGGUUGUAAACUGCUUUUGUGCGGGGAUAAAAGUGUGGGACGUGUCCCAUAUUGCAGGUACCGCAUGAAUAAGGACCGGCUAAUUCCGUGCCAGCAG
rnacentral:rRNA from 1 species